UGGCUGCAACUUCGCAUGUGUUUGUUUU
rnacentral:piRNA from 1 species